rnacentral:piRNA from 1 species
CCUUUUAAGGGAUCUUACGUGAG